CGCACCAGCGGGACAGUCCGGCUGCGCCAGCGGCUCGCUCACACCACCCCAACCUACACAGCACUGCCCACUGAAAAAUAAUUAAACCUGAGGGAAGCGGUCACUGUUUCUGCGCUUUAAAGUUUCCUGAGAAAUCAGAACCAGUGGUUCCAAGCUGAAGCAGCCAGGCUCUGCCCAGACAGAGGUGCCAUACCGAGGAUAAUGGAGGAGAUGAAGGAUUAGGGGAUAAUCCAGGCCACAAGGGGUUGCCUUCCUCACACAACCUUCCCAGGGAUUUGCGUCUUCUCCUGGAAUCUCAAGCAAAU
ensembl:lncRNA